GCUGCCUUUGGCAGCACAUGCUAAACUUGGAAACAGAGAUUAGCAUGAUCCCUGUGCAACAGUGACACACAAAUCUAUAAAGUAUCCUGAUUUUUU
rnacentral:snRNA from 1 species